CCCUAGUUCUGCUGGAGUGGAGCUGAGAGAGGCUCUUGGGAGCUGCCUGCGUGGGCAGAGUUUGAAGGCUUAGGAUAUCUCCUGAAGGCCGGAUGGGCCAGUAGAGAUUAACGAGGCUUGAGCUGUCUUGAAAGAUGGCUGCCCUGAGAACUGGCUAGAAGAGGAGACCAAGGAGGCUGUGUGGGUCACCCUUGCAUUGGAGAUGAGGGGAGUCGUGAGAGAUCAGUGGGGAGCCCAUUGCCCUGUUGGGGAACUGCCUGGUGGAGCUUUCCCAGGGAUAUUUUAAAGAACCUACAUGGGAGAAAGCCUGCAUUUGGACAUCUUCCAGGCCAUUCAAUAGCCAAAGAGAACCACCAACAGCUUGAAUCAAAAAAAAGGCCCUCAAAAUAGGCUGAAUGAAAAGAGGUGUGAUCGAUGAAAACUGGCCGCUCCUUCUUUGCAACUCCUUCCAUUAGGUGGUGGAGUCUACGUUGCCCUCCCUUUGAUCCAGGCUGGCCACACAAAUUACUUUCACCAACAGAAUGCUGUAGAAGUGAUACUGCAUGACCUCUGAGCCCAGGCCUUAAGGGACUUUGCAGCUUCUGUUCUUGGCCUCUGGCUGCUCUGUGACUACCAUGGAAGGAGUUCCACACUAACCUCCUGUAGGGUAAGAGACACGUGGAGGCAGACUGAGCCUCCCAGCCAUCCCACUGAGGCUCCAGGCGUGCCAGUGAUGUACCUGGCUGAAGCCUGGCCCCCAGUCACCCACUGACGGCAGCUGCAAAGGUGCCCGUGAUGAGGUACAAUUUGCUUGAUGUCAUCAAUACAGUGAGCCAGUGUGAUAUUCUGCGGAAUUGAAGAUGACUACAGUCCCUUUGGACUACACUAUGACAAAGAACAAGAGUGUUAGCACAGCCCUGGGUGGGUCACUGACAAGAAAAUUCACCUGGAGGCCAAAUUGUCUCUAAUAACAAGUCCAAGACAUGCAUUCCAGCUGGAAUCCUCUUCCCGGAUGGUUGUGUGUUUUUAAUUGCAGUAGCCAUCUCCAAAAAUGCCAUCCAGUAACCAUGCCCUUGUGUGCUGCCCUUUCCAUGAAUCUGAGCUAGCCCCAUAAUUUGCUUUUGGCCAUUGGAUGGUGGUGGAAGUGAUGCUGUGUGACUUUUGAAGCUGAGUUACAAGCAGCCUUGGACAGUCUUUCUAGACCUCGUGGAGGGCUCACUCUGGGGGAAGCCAACCAGCAUGUAAGGAGCAUAACUGCCCUGAGACCGCCGUGUUGUUAGGAUGCCCAGCUAGCUAUGUGGAGAAGCUGCAUAGACUGAGGGAGAAGCCCAGCUAGUCCCCAGUUAUUCCUGCCACCCUAACUGAGGCACCAGACCCAUGAGCAAAGAAACCAUCAUGGAUGUCCUGUCCCAUCCAGCUUCUGUGACUGUAACUGUAUGAGGACCCCAAUGAAAACCACACAGCUGAGCCUAGUCAACACACAGAGCUAUGGAAGAUAAUAGUAAAUUGUUGCUUUAAGCCACUUGGUGUUUAUUCAUUUGUUUGGAGGGGGUCGGGGGCAGAGAGAUUAUGCAGCAGUCGAAAACCAGAACACUUGCAUAAAUCUCUAUGAAGCUGGACAUCUCUCUAGACCUGAAGAAGCUCCAGAAUGCCCUGAGCCUGGCAUGACUACAGGGCCACUCUAUUCCCCCGCUGGAAUGAUCCAGAGUGCCAGGAAAACAGGCCCUUCACACAAGGCCCUGAGUCUGUUUCCUGGUUCCUCCAUGACUAGCUGCAAAACUUUAGACAAGCCAGUGCUCUCUCAGCCUGAAUUUUCCCAUCUGCAAAGUUAGGCAAUAGAGUCAAUGGAUCAUCAAAGAUUCUUCUGCUUCUCUGCCUCAUGAAAUAUCACUCUGUGCCUAAGAGAUGAACACACCACCUAGAAUUCCCCCUCUAGGCGUGCCCUUUCUCGGUUCACUCACAUGAUAGGCAUAAAGGCACAAGGAGAAAGGAGCUCAUCUGCGCUGUUUCUGGGCUUCAGGAAUCUCCAGUCACCAAGUGAGGCUGUGGGAGGGCCAGACAUGCCAGCCAGUACCCAGGUUCCCAGCUCCAUGCCCCUCCUCAGCCUCCCUUGAGUUUUUCAGUGCUAAAGAGGGAGCACCUGCUCCAAGGCCCAGGUAGUUCUGGAAUCCCAGCUCUACCUGAGAAGAGGAAGUUCCUGCCUGCCAAAGAAGAGGGGCCUCCUGAGAGGAGUAGGCUUCUCGGUGGCUGCAAAGCGUCUGGUGACAAUAUUUGUGUCUAAAAAUACAGCAGCUGAGAACCAGCUAAUUGCAGCCUCUGGAGUCAUUCAUAGCUCAGCGUUUCACACCACACUUGCACCUCUUCCAGUGUUUCUCAGGAGCUGCCACGAAGGAGGCCACUUAUGGGUGGAAACCCAGCCAGGAGGGCCCAGGAUUGGGCCUAAGGUCCAGGGCAUCCUUUCACCCAAGAGCCCAGCCUGGUACCAGUAUGUAGCUGGCACCUAGGAAUAGAGCAAAGAGAGCAAGUUUCUCAAGUCAGCUGAAUCCCCCCCCCUCUACUCAGAUGCCCUUGGCCACUUGCCCAUCAGGAUCCAUUCAGACCUGUUGGGGCCCCUCAAAAGGCAAUGGCCCAGGUAUAACUUCAUGAGUGAGAUGUACUCGAAGAGAUGCACAAGGUCCAGGAAUUACCUUGCUGGAGACGGCCUUCUGUCCUGGACCUGCAGCCGGCAGGGUGCUAACCUUUGAGCUAGGACCUCUGCUGGACUGGGUCAUGGGCUAAGCAGGGGUUGGGACCCCAUAGCUCCCUGCUGUGGAUCCUCCUUUCUUUCAGAGCUUCUCAGAUGGCUCCUGUCUCGUCUACCAGGAUAAAGGGCAUGACUCAAGGUCACAGGAUGUGACGAUCUGAGAACUUCAGCCACAGCCUCUCUGGUGCCCCACACUGCCUGAACACACAGUGGACGAAGGUCAUGGCAAAAGUAGAAGGAACCCUGCGUGGGGAAUGUGUUUGCCUCAGGCUUUAGGAGAAGGAAUUUUUUUUUUCUUAAUCAGGGAGGCAUUUUAAAAGCACAAAGCCAAACUAACAUUUGUGUAGUAUUUUUCACUUGGCAAAAUGCUGUCACACACCUAGUGCUAGGUGGUUCCCAUGUUAAUUAGAUGAGGUGGUUAUUAUUAUGGCGUCCACUUUAUGGGUAAUUAAACUGAGGAUCAGAGGGGCUGAGUCAUUUCCCCAGGGUCACCAAAGUCAUGACCAGCCUUGAACUCAAGUCAGGAGCCCUCCUGCUGGGUCAGCAGGCCCAGCACCGCCUCCUGGCCCAGCUUAGAAGCUUGACUAGUCAGCCCCAUUGGGGUCCCAGAUUACAGAAAUGCCACACUCCGGCCACACAGCCCUGAAUCCAACCUAAAUCCAGCUCCAUCAACUUCCCCCUAUCUGCGAAAUUCAUUUGAAUCCCACUCUGAAUCUGGAUCCAUUAACCUUUGACCUAUGAGAAAUGAGUCAGAGCCUAAGAAAAAGCGGGCACCUAGAGAAAGCAGGGAGCAAAAAACAGAGUUUCUGAGAGCAGGGGCCCUCUGCUUGAUGGUCAGCUCCUCCCCUGGCACCUGGGCCAGGUCAGCCGAUGCUCUGUGUGGCCAAGAGAGGGCCAGACCUGGCCUCUGGCUGUGAGUGGCUGGGACGGCGAGCAAGACCCAGCUACAUAUCUGUCUUCAGCCCCUGCAACUGGGAGAGCAGCAACUCAGAGAUCAGCCGUUUCACCCUUCUUCCUAAUCACCGCGGGCGUGAUGGAACACCUUGACAUUCUUUAACGAAAGUUCAACUCCACUGCCACUCGGGGCGCUGCAUGAGGAAUGAGGUUUAUGUUGAAUCCCAGAAUCACAGAAAUUAGAGAUGAAAAAGGACGCUGAGGUCAGAGGCAGCCCAUCCCCAUGGGGCCAAGUGCACGUUCUUCUCGGUAAUAGACUUUCCCUUUAUUCCUCCAGUCCAGGUGGCUGCCUCCCUGAAGACCAUUCUCCACUGUUUCUUGGAGAAGACACUGUUGAUAGAAAUGAGAAGUCUGUGCUGAUCCCUGCAUGAUUUGCUUUGAAAUUUAUUAAUCAUCCAAAAGCUGGUGAAGAGGGGAAAAAAGAGAAUGUAAACUCAUCUGGUAGCCAGCGUGCCUGAGUGCGAAGAAGGAGGAGAGCCAGAACCCUCUGGGUUUCCAGCUUGCUAUAGCUCUAGGGCAGCAUGGGACAGUGUAGACUGAUCACUGACUUGCUAUGUAACCUGGCAAAAUUUUGACUUCCCUGAGCCUCAGUUUUCUCAUCUGCAAAAUGGGAGCUCAUGAUGCCUAUGCACAGGGCUGUUGGAAGAUUAGAGUUAACAAAGGUUUAGCACCUCAUAUUGUGCCUGACCCAUGUGAAUUACUCCGUAAAUGGUAACGAUUAUUACUAACAUUACUUUAUGACUCUCCCCUCUCCAGAUCCGUGUCCCUGUCUGUAACACAGGGCUAAGCAAGUUCUUCAGCUAUUGGGCUUCAUCCACUCAACAUUCCACUGGCACUUCCAGAGCUGCCACCACACUUCAGACUCCCAAGGCUAACAAUGACCAAGAAAGACAGAUUCUCUGACGUCAUGGAACUUACUGUCUUUAUGAAUUUCCAGGGAGAAGGGUGCUAAGAUGCUAACAUGGAUACUAACCAUCUGAUGCAAUAUUCUGCUGCACAGAUUGUGACCUAUGACUCACUGGGACAUGAUAGAGGUCACAGAAAUGCCAAUGACAUCCCAAAGACAGUGUGGGAGUGUGUUGUCUAGCUUCUUAGCAAACCCCACCCCCACGGUGGCAUGACCCCUGCACCAUCUUCUCCCACCCUGGGAUCUCCUUCCUACCCCUCUGCCCAUGUCAAUCUGGAAGGUACUUUUAUACACACACACACACACUCCUAAUAGCAUCUAAAUCAGUCACUCUCAACCUUGGCUGUGCAUUAGUGGUGCUUACCUAUGACAGGGCUAGGCCCAGGCCACACCCAAAUCCAUUAAAGCAGAGCGUCUGGGGUGGGACCCAAGCAUCAGAGUUAUUGGCAUCUUCCCAGCUCGAGAACCAGUGCUCUAAGCGGAUGUGGUCGUCGGGGGAAAGGCAAGGACCUCUGGUCUUUACAAUCUUCUUGAUAUCACUGAAUAACCUCAGUUUCUCUGUCUGGGCAAGGAGGGUACUAAUACCUCCCUCUCCAGGCCAUGAUGAAGAAGUAUGUGUGCAUCACAGGAGUCCAGGCUUUGAGCCUGGGAUCAGCACAGUUCCUGACUCUGACCCACACACCAUGAGCCAAAGCUCUAGACCUUUCAGAAAUUCUUCACCAUCAGAAAAAUGGAGGUGGCACGCCCUGCCGCAGCUGAUCAACUUCCCAGAUGUGCUGCGAGCCUGCAGUAAGAGAAUGGAUGUGAAAGUGCUUUGUAAACUGAAAAUUCCAAUGAGAAAAAUCCAUUAUCAUUAGGAGAAAGAGAUAGAAGUGGCCUGGCUUUGAAACAUGGUGCUAUCCCCUAGCAAGCAGAGGAGGAGCUUCCAGACAGAAAAUGGUACCUUUCCCCAGAGUCUAUGUUGAGGUGCACCAGCCUUUCCAGUCCUGAGAAAAGACAGAGUCAUGGCUCCAGGGCAGGUGGGCAUGCCUGUGUCCCAGGAGGCACUGUUCUUCCUGGCCAGAGACCCAUGCCCACUUCAGAGGAGCCAUGAAGGAGAAACACCAGGCCACAGUGGAGGACUGUGAUCAAGGAAAAAUUGAAGAACUGCUGCAGGAAAUUGGAGCUGCCAAUCUCCUAACAAUUGGAAUUUUUUUAUACUGUGCAUUUCACAAAUGUAUGUCCUCAAGGACAGAGAAGAUCCUGCCCUAAGGAGCAAGUGUGCGGAGGCCACCUGGCCUUCACUGGUUCCUGCACUGAAUGUUUCCUUCUCACCUGCUGAGUACCAGGUGUUACCCCAGGUAGCCUCAGUGUGAUGGAUUAUCUGCAGAGAUCAUCACCAGUAAUCCUCCAGCCCUGUACAUAUCCACUCUUUUCCAUCAGGAGGUGAAAUUUAUUUCCCCUCCCCUUGAAUCUAGGCCAGUCUUGUGACUUGCUUUGACACUGACUUUUCUUACACUGUGCAUUUCACAAAUGUAUGAGAUGGCAGAAGGACUGAGGACCUGGGGAGGAGAGAGGAGGAAACUGGAGGACUGUGAACGUGGCCACGUCUUUUCCAAUGGAGAGAAAACUCAAUCGGAUCUGGGCACUCCCUACAUUUCUCCACCUCCUGCCGCCCCCGUGAGCCACUGCAGGGAGAUUUUUCUGAAUAAUGGAACAUUUUCCUGUUUUAAUCAGAUGCAAUUUUGCAAGCAGUUUUUAUGAUUUAGCAAGUCCAUUAAAACUGGCAUUUGUUCUGCUCUGACACUCGAAAGGGGCUCCACAGAGCAUAAACAUUGGAAAUUACUUGUAGGGAGAGACAAUAUUAAAAUUCCCCAGCCUGGGCCUGUUGUUUGAGAAAUUCUGUUAUCAAGCAUCAUGCCAGCUACGAUCAGAGGUGCUUGAGAUAUAUGCUGCUUCCUCUUUACGCACUAACUGGGGGCCUGGGAACUCAGGCAGCAAUAAAGUCGCAAUGCUGUUAUCUCUCAGCA